GGCAGAGUGGGUCGAGCGCUGGACUACGACUCUGGGGACCAGGGUUCGAAUCCCAGCUCGGCCA